CUUACACAUGCAACUCGAACGGUAGCCAAAGGAGCUUGCUCCUUGGGUGACGAGUGGCGGACGGGUGAGUAAUGCUUGGGAAUCUGGCUUAUGGAGGGGGAUAACUACUGGAAACGGUAGCUAAUACCGCGUAAUGUCUUAGGACUAAAGGGUGGGACCAUUUGGCCACCUGCCAUAAGAUGAGCCCAAGUGAGAUUAGGUAGUUGGUGAGGUAAAGGCUCACCAAGCCCGCGAUCUCUAGCUGGUCUGAGAGGAUGACCAGCCACACUGGAACUGAGACACGGUCCAGACUCCUACGGGAGGCAGCAGUGGGGAAUAUUGCACAAUGGGGGGAACCCUGAUGCAGCCAUGCCGCGUGAAUGAAGAAGGCCUUCGGGUUGUAAAGUUCUUUCGGUGACGAGGAAGGCAGUUUUGUUAAUAGCAAGAUUGAUUGACGUUAAUCACAGAAGAAGCACCGGCUAACUCCGUGCCAGCAGCCGCGGUAAUACGGGGGGUGCGAGCGUUAAUCGGAAUAACUGGGCGUAAAGGGCACGCAGGCGGUUGUUUAAGUGAGGUGUGAAAGCCCCGGGCUUAACCUGGGAAUUGCAUUUCAGACUGGACAACUAGAGUACUUUAGGGAGGGGUAGAAUUCCACGUGUAGCGGUGAAAUGCGUAGAGAUGUGGAGGAAUACCGAAGGCGAAGGCAGCCCCUUGGGA
rnacentral:rRNA from 1 species